rnacentral:misc_RNA from 1 species
AUAUCCUCAAUUUCAAUCUUUUUGUUUGAAAUUGGAUUUUGGACGUUGCUGUGAUCUCAGCUCGUCCUAAAUGCAUUAGCGAAUCUGCCUUGAUCACGCGCAAUGUGAUAAAACUAGAGCAUUGUUCCAGUCAAAUAGAGUCGCUUCUAAUCGUCGAAAGACAAAUACUUAUGUC